GGGCCUGUAGCUCAGCCGGUUAGAGCGUUCCUCUGAUAAGGGAGAGGCCGAUGGUUCGAGUCCAUCCAGGCCCA
rnacentral:tRNA from 1 species